AUUGAACGCUGGCGGCAGGCCUAACACAUGCAAGUCGAGCGGAUGAAGGGAGCUUGCUCCUGGAUUCAGCGGCGGACGGGUGAGUAAUGCCUAGGAAUCUGCCUGGUAGUGGGGGAUAACGUCCGGAAACGGGCGCUAAUACCGCAUACGUCCUGAGGGAGAAAGUGGGGGAUCUUCGGACCUCACGCUAUCAGAUGAGCCUAGGUCGGAUUAGCUAGUUGGUGGGGUAAAGGCCUACCAAGGCGACGAUCCGUAACUGGUCUGAGAGGAUGAUCAGUCACACGGGAACUGAGACACGGCCCAGACUCCUGCGGGGGGCAGCAGUGGAGAAUAUUGGGCAAUGGGGGAAAGCCUGAUCCAGCCAUGCGGCGUGUGUGAAGAAGGUCUUCGGAUUGUAGAGCACUUUAAGUUGGGAGGAAGGGCAGUAAGUUAAUACCUUGCUGUUUUGACGUUACCAACAGAAUAAGCACCGGCUAACUUCGUG
rnacentral:rRNA from 1 species